CCUACGGGAGGCAGCAGUGAGGAAUAUUGGUCAAUGGGCGUACGCCUGAACCAGCCAAGUCGCGUGAGGGAAGACUGCCCUAUGGGUUGUAAACCUCUUUUGUCAGGGAGCAACGCCGGCUACGUGUAGCCGGACUGAGAGUACCUGAAGAAAAAGCAUCGGCUAACUCCGUGCCAGCAGCCGCGGUAAUACGGAGGAUGCGAGCGUUAUCCGGAUUUAUUGGGUUUAAAGGGUGCGUAGGCGGAAUGCCAAGUCAGCGGGAAAAUCGCGGGGCUCAACCUCGCUCCGCCGUUGAAACUGGCGUUCUUGAGUGGGCGAGAAGUAUGCGGAAUGCGGGGUGUAGCGGUGAAAUGCAUAGAUAUCACGCAGAACUCCGAUUGCGAAGGCAGCAUACCGGCGCCCAACUGACGCUGAAGCACGAAAGCGUGGGUAUCGAACAGGAUUAGAUACCCGAGUAGUC
rnacentral:rRNA from 1 species